UAUUGAAGAACAUAGAGUUAAAACGUAAUUUAUAUCUCCCUGACUCAAUUGGCAAGCCAAUAAAUUGGUAAAAAAUGAAAAGCGUUUGUUGAGCACUGCGUCACUGGGCUCUCUUCCGAUCAGCUUCAUCACCUUCCAAUUCGCCACCAUGACUGAGAUUAAAGCGGCGACAAAGUCAAACUCAAGUCAAGCCAAUCAAAGCGUUGACAAUUUCCUUCACAAAGAAGCUUCCCAUAAUGAAGAGGAUAGAGUUGCUUCAGAACACAACAGAGACUCAGAUGAUGGCCAAGAAAGUUGUAGGAUUAAGUCAAGUUCCUCAUAGAUCAAUUACCAUUCAUUCAUGAACAGAACACCCACAACAAGAUGGUCAAAACAAGAUAUAGAACUUCUCUAUCAGUGUCUAUUGUACUUUAAAAAUGGCAAAGCGUGAACUGAAGAUGAAUUUUAUGUAAAGCUAUGGGUUAUGAUUUCAAAGUUUGAGGAUUCAACUAAUGCCUGCCUUGAAGCAUCAUUUAGGCUGUUAAGAAGUUUGGUACAGAUUUUUCCAUGAUACAACAACUUUUUCCUGGUGGAUCACGACAUCAAAUCAAGUUGAAGUUUAAGAAAGAAGAGCAUCAACAUCCUUUACAGCUCUCAAAAGCUGUGACUAAUCAGUCAAAAGUGAUUUCCUUUAUGGCUUGACGUCAGUUGGUGUGCUUCGAAUAUAUGGUGUAUGGUGUAUGGCAUCUAUGUUGUGCUGGAAUAUAUGGUGUAUGGUGUAUGGUGUUAUGGUGUAUGGCUUCUAUGGUGUGCUGGGAUGUAUGGUGUAUGGAAUAAUGAUCUAACUUCUGCAUGCAGAUCAUUCCCAUUUUGAAUCAGUUAUUUAGCAACUGCAAAAAGAUGCUGCUCAUACAAAACAGGAGUACAAUAGAGACGGGUCAAUUGGUGUCACAUGGAAAGAGGCUGGGGAGGCAGAGAAGCCAAUUCAUGAUAUCAAUGACUUCUCUCUUUCCUAUUCUCUUCUGCUAUAAUGCUAGUUUUCUGCUAUGUGAUGCUGUAACCACAAUGAAACCUCAAAUGCCCGUUCUGGAACUCCACAAAAGUUGCUCCUAGAUCUAGAAGCAGAAGUGUAUUAUUCCUUGGCGGUUGGUCUAAACUAAAGCCUCACAAAUCUGUAUAUGGGUGGAUUUUUUAUGGUUUUGGAAGUGUCUUGAUUCAGAAUCCUAAUGUAUAUUUAUGUGUUAGCAGGAAGGAGGUACAAAAUCUGAGUUGGAUGAUGAGGUUGUUAAAGUUCAGAAAGCAGGUGUCGGUGAAGUUUGUUUUCCUGCAAAGUCUAAUGAAAGUGAUGAUGACUCGGAUAGAUGGUUUGAUUACAGUUAUUAGUAAGCUAACAUUCUUAUUCCGGAAGCUAAAUAAGGUCCUUAGUUGCGAAAAUAAUAAUAAUAAAUACAAAAAGGUAAAAUAUUGCAAUAUUAGUGUGGUCAUGAAAGCACAAACAGAAAACAAUAUCCAACCAAGCACAUAUACUAUAUACCAUGGCUAUGUUAUAUAUCAACAUCAUCAUCAUUGUCGUCAUUAUCAUCAUCAUGAUCGAAACAAAUGAGACAAUUUUCUUUUUUUCUCAUUUUGUAAAUUUUCUAAAUUUUGUGUGAAGAUUGUAUUGUAUGUGGGUGAUGAAGCGUGUAAUACCCAUCAGUUCAUCACUGGAUUCAAGGCGAGCUUCCUUCCUUUUUAUAUCCCUUUUUUCCACUAUAACAACCUCCGAAGGAUAAAGGGGUAAUUAAAGGGAAAAAGAAACCACAUUUACAGGAUUUCAUGUGGGUCUACUCCAUAAUCGACAUAACUAGGCUUUCAAUAAAGUUACAUCUGCAUGCAUGGCCGAUUGUCCUCCUUUUCCCUACACGAAUAUUUACAUCUUUCAAAAUGAUAUAUUAAUAUUUCUCCAAUAUAUAUGUCAUCCUCUCUUUGAUAAAAAAAAAGGAGAGGAUUUACCUGAUUCACAUCUCACUCCACUUACUCCAAGCCCCAAUUAAAAGGAGCUUCAGCCAGAAACGUCAGUUCUGUCGACUCCAGCACCUCCAUCAGCCUUGUCAACUCCAGCAGCUCUGGCAAUAUUGGUGAGGCAAAUGAUUUGGCUUUCCUUCUUGCUAUCUUCAUUUCCACUUUCAGUUUGAUGUUGAUUGAGAUCAGAAAGUGAAAUACGAGAUCUCAGUUUUGUUUUGAUGAUUCACGAGCUUAUAAGUUUGGAUUGGUUUCACUGCUCUUCGUUUAAGGUCACCAACUACAUGAUUAUAGGAAUCUGAAGAGGUGACCCUAACUUUAGGGUUUUCACGCUUUCAAAAUUAGCAUUUCACAAUCUCAGUGACUCAUAUAUAAUGAUACAGGUCCUGUCUCUCUGGCUCCGCUGAUUGUCUUAAUUUUCUUGGUUGCAGCACCUCUUCUUUUCUUUUAAGUAAUGUCCAAUACUGUGUUUGGUUGCUGAGAAAAUUUUGUAAAAAAUUUUUAAAAAUUGGAAUCUUUUAACUAAUUGUAGGUUGGAGCAGCAUCUUUUAUUUUCCUUCUUGAAUUUUUAUAUCUUAAAUCAAAUAAAUGUUCAUUUUUGUUUUUAUUAUUAUUAAUUUUUUUUUGUGGGUACAACACUUGCUAAUUAUAUAUUGCUGAAUAAUUUCGGCUAUGUAGAUUUGUAAUGAUUUUUUGAUUGAACAGAAGUUAGUGGAAUUAGAGUUUAAAAGUUUGGAUAGAAUCCAACAGGCAAAUAACAAACGAUUUGAAAUUGGUUAAUAAGCAAUAGAAUCCCCAUCUAAUUUGUGUUUUAGGUGUUCUUUUAUAUUAAGGACUUUUGUUUCCCAUGUCUUCGUACAUCAGAUAUUUAGCAAGUAUGUUUCCAUCAAGACAUAAUGACUUAUUCUGGUAAUUGAUUCUGGUGUGUCUUCCUUGUUGCUAAUUCUGUUAUAUGUGAAUGAACAGGAGCCAGUUUCUCAUGUUGUGGCCUGUCCUUCCCCAAAUGACAUUUUUGAGGGGUUUAAAUUUUUUGUAAAUCUGGCUCUAAUAGCAAAUCAAGACAUUCCAAUUUUGAACGUAGAAGCUGAAGCAGCGCAGCUUGAAAAUGGUGCUUCUUUUUAUCUCCUUGUUCUUCUUUUUUUUUUUUUUUCCUUCCCAUGAAAAGGUUUGAAAGUUACCACUUUAUAAUACAUAAGGAGGAAUGUAUUUUCAAGCUUUCUGGUGAGGGGGUAGCUUUCAUAUGUGUCUAAAAAUCAUAGGAAAUCAUUAGUGUUGGUUUUGUAUAUGAAGAGAUGUGGACGUUUUCUUAGUUUUAUAAGCAACUUCUUAUAAGUGAUCUGUAUUUUGAUAUGUGUCAAUAGGAAGAAUAAGCAGAUGCAAUUAGAAUCACCGAAAGUGUUACAACUUCAAGUUUUUGUCAAAAGUUUGCAAAAGUAAGCCUGUGAAAUUAAACCAGUAAGAGCUGCAAUUGGACAUUGUUAUUAAUUAAGCACUUUCAUUCAUUCAUUACGAGCUUUCUGGUUCUUGGGUAUUCUAAUUGCAAUUUUGCGUAGUUUCUCCUUUGCUCGCUGGGAACAACAUUUAGUUUGUAUACAUAUUAGAUGCUCCUAUUUAUUUCUCAAUUGUGAUUUAGACAGAGGAAAAACUCUAGAUUCCGUUGCAGAAUUUCACCAGCAGAAUGGGGCAGUGUGGUAUUUAACUGAAAUUUGUGAAACAGGGAAUCUAACUUUUUCUUAUAUUGGUUAUGAUGAUGUAGUUUAUGAUGCUUAUAAGAUUACGUUGUAUAUAGAGUCUUGAUAGCCCUCAGAAGAUACAGUAAUCUUGAUUCUUCCGUCAUAUGUUAUAGAUGGUUGAAAGGAUUAAUUUGCAUGGCAUAUCAGAAAAAGACCUCCAUCAAAGUGGAGGUAUUUGGUGAAUUACGUUUAUAGGUCAAACAACUUUUGGCUGAUGAUCCUACGAACUCAGAAUAUGCUGACAUGAAAAGGGAGCUCAACGAGACAAUUUUUGUUUAAGACUUUUAUCCAUCGGAUUAUGGUUUUCUAUCAUUUGGGUUUUUUUGGCAUUGUCCGCUCAGAUUUUGAUAAUUGAUAGCCUGCUAUGUUCCUUUGUAUUUUUCCUAUAUUUUGUAGGAUGUCGGUGAUGAUAUAAACGAUUGAUCGAAGGACCUGUUAUCCACCGGAGGAUGACAGUAAAAGAGGCAUUGCUUUCCCACAAAUGGACAUAACCAUUCUUGGAGACCGCAAAAUGAAUAUACGAGAAAAAUGAAAGACCAUAGUAUAGCUUAAUAUUAUAAAAUUAGACGUGCCUUUAACAUACCUUUUUUAUGUAGUUUCUACUGCCUAAGAUAUUUUGAACUGUCUCUUUGUAAUAAUGGAUUAUUAUUUUGAUUAAUCAAUUGUUUUUUUUCCC